rnacentral:misc_RNA from 1 species
AAGUCGUAACAAGGUAACCGUAGGUGAACCUGCGGUUGGAUCAUUACAAAAUUUGGACAAAGUUCCAAACCUUGUGUGCACUAUAUCUGUCUCUGGCAGGUGUCAAGCCUUGCUUGCCCUGCCGAAGGUUCGGGUCUCUGACCCGGCUUUGAAUGAACAAACCAAUUGAAUAAUUAUUUUGUCUGAUUCAAUUCACCUCUGCGUGAAAUGAAAAAACAACUUUUGACAACGGAUCUCUUGGCUCUC